AAGUCGUAACAAGGUUUUCCUUCCGGUUAAAGAUUUAACCAUUGAAGCCUUACACACAGCGACUCUAAACAAACUGUGCAGUCUUACUUAGGUAAAGACAAUACCGCUGAAAUGCUGUGAUCACGUAAGUGUACCAGCAGCCUAUUUUCUAGGCCCACAGAUCAAGUGGCGGUGGUCCAUGGUUAAAAAACACCACGGACUAUAAUAUGACCGGUCCUAACCUCAACGGUUAAGAAUUUUAACGUUCCGUAGGUGAACCUGCGGAAGGAUCAUUAAUGAGUUAGGGUCUUCUAGGCUCGA
rnacentral:misc_RNA from 1 species